UACGUAGGGUCCGAGCGUUGUCCGGAAUUACUGGGCGUAAAGAGCUCGUAGGUGGUUUGUCGCGUUGUUCGUGAAAACUCACAGCUCAACUGUGGGCGUGCGGGCGAUACGGGCAGACUAGAGUACUGCAGGGGAGACUGGAAUUCCUGGUGUAGCGGUGAAAUGCGCAGAUAUCAGGAGGAACACCGGUGUCGAAGGCGGGUCUCUGGGCCGAUACUGACGCUGAGGAGCGAAAGCGUGGGGAGCGAACAGG
rnacentral:rRNA from 1 species